rnacentral:rRNA from 1 species
UACGUAGGGUGCAGGCGUUAAUCGGAAUUCCUGGGCGUAAAGCGUGCGCAGGCGGCUCCUUAAGUCAGAUGUGAAAUCCCCGGGCUUAACCUGGGAACUGCGUUUGAAACUGGGGAGCUGGAGUGUAGAAGAGGGGGGUGGAAUUCCAGGUGUAGCAGUGAAAUGCGUAGAGAUCUGGAGGAACACCGAUGGCGAAGGCAGCCCCCUGGGCUAACACUGACGCUCAUGCACGAAAGCGUGGGGAGCAAACAGG